UACGUAGGGCGCAAGCGUUGUCCGGAAUUAUUGGGCGUAAAGAGCUCGUAGGCGGUCUGUUGCGUCCGCUGUGAAAACUCGGGGCUUAACCCCGAGCCUGCAGUGGAUACGGGCAGACUAGAGUGUGGUAGGGGAGACUGGAAUUCCUGGUGUAGCGGUGAAAUGCGCAGAUAUCAGGAGGAACACCGAUGGCGAAGGCAGGUCUCUGGGCCACUACUGACGCUGAGAAGCGAAAGCAUGGGGAGCGAACAGG
rnacentral:rRNA from 1 species